GAUGAACGCUGGCGGCGUGCCUAAUACAUGCAAGUCGAGCGAACAGACGAGGAGCUUGCUCCUCUGACGUUAGCGGCGGACGGGUGAGUAACACGUGGAUAACCUACCUAUAAGACUGGGAUAACUUCGGGAAACCGGAGCUAAUACCGGAUAAUAUAUUGAACCGCAUGGUUCAAUAGUGAAAGACGGUUUUGCUGUCACUUAUAGAUGGAUCCGCGCCGCAUUAGCUAGUUGGUAAGGUAACGGCUUACCAAGGCAACGAUGCGUAGCCGACCUGAGAGGGUGAUCGGCCACAAUGGAACUGAGACACGGUCCAGACUCCUACGGGAGGCAGCAGUAGGGAAUCUUCCGCAAUGGGCGAAAGCCUGACGGAGCAACGCCGCGUGAGUGAUGAAGGUCUUCGGAUCGUAAAGCUCUGUUAUUAGGGAAGAACAAAUGUGUAAGUAACUAUGCACGUCUUGACGGUACCUAAUCAGAAAGCCACGGCUAACUACGUG
rnacentral:rRNA from 1 species